GACGAACGCUGGCGGCGUGCUUAACACAUGCAAGUCGAACGGUGAAGCGCCUUCCUUUUUGGUGGGUGUGGGUGAGUGGCGAACGGGUGAGUAACACGUGAGUAACCUGCCCCCUUCUUCUGGAUAACCGCAUGAAAGUGUGGCUAAUACGGGAUAUUCUGGGUCUGUCGCAUGAUGGGUCUGGGAAAGAUAUUGUUUCGGUGGGGGAUGGGCUCGCGGCCUAUCAGCUUGUUGGUGGGGUGAUGGCCUACCAAGGCGGUGACGGGUAGCCGGCCUGAGAGGGUGGACGGUCACACUGGGACUGAGACACGGCCCAGACUCCUACGGGAGGCAGCAGUGGGGAAUAUUGCACAAUGGGCGCAAGCCUGAUGCAGCGACGCCGCGUGAGGGAUGGAGGCCUUCGGGUUGUGAACCUCUUUCGCCAGUGAAGCAGGCCUGCCUCGUUUGUGGGUGGGUUGACGGUAGCUGGAUAAGAAGCGCCGGCUAACUACG
rnacentral:rRNA from 1 species